AUAAAUUAAUAGCGUUUGGCUAAGAUUAAAGUGUAAUAUCCGUUCUUAUCAGCUUAAUAUCUGUUACGGUCCCUAUUUGGGAUCAUCGAUAUUAAACUGAUUUUUAGAACGAGGCAAAGAGUUAGGGGCUUGCUCUGCCUUUGUCACAGCUUGGCUUGUUAUUGCAGUACUUCCAGUAUUCAGCCCAUUUAAA